ACACGGAUCCGGGAACAAAAGAAAAAAAAAAAACAUAAAAUUUCAUUAUGAAUAAUUAGAAGAAAAAAAAAACCUAAACCUAUACCAUAACCCUAACUUUCAUCUUCUCUUCCACUUUCUUCUCUACGAAUGUCCUUUAGGUUUUUUUUUUUUUGUUCUUUCGCUGAUCGACCAUUGGUCAUUUUAAUGAUCUAAAGUAUUUAAAGAGAAAAGAAGCCUCUUAAUCGAUGGAAAGUACGAUCCAGAUCCCUUUUUGUCUCUUCGCUAACUUUGAUUUGUGGUACCUUUAUGUUUUCACUAAUCUGCAGGAGUAUGAUACCAGCAGGAUAACUAGGAUGGACAUAUAUAUUAGUGAUUAUAUUGACCACUUUCUCCAUAAACCCUAAAACUUCUAACUUUGUGAUUAUGCUGGGAGGUAAUCAAUACAAUAGCUACGUUUCGUCUACUUUGACUAAUACUGUAUUUUAUAUUAUUUAUUUGCUUUGCAGGAUAGGACAUUACUCUGGAUGAAAAUCUUGAACUCGAUGUGCCUCUUCAUAGGGAAAGGUAAAUGUUUCGAGGAUUUUAUUUAAGUUUCUAUUAGUAGAUAAGUAUAGCCAACAGAAAGAAUGAGUUUGCUUUGAGUUUGUAUUGAUAUGCCGGUUUUGCACCAUUAUUGAUAUGUCGGUUUUGCACCAUUAUUGCACCAUUAUUAAUGAAAUCCGUAGGACACCUCCUAAUCUUCAAGAUGAUUUGAUGGAAGGAACAAUUGUUAUCUCCCUAACACGUCUUGAUUUGAAUUGAAAUGUCCUAUAAACAUUGUGUUUUCUAAUUAUAUGAUUAUUUUUUUAAUUUUUUCCAUGAUCAUUCAAAUUCUUAGCAAUAUUUACAGAUUUUAUUAGUUUAGAUACAUAAGAAUGGAAGAUAUUCAUAUUAAACAGGAUGAUACAAACUCAAUUAUAUGGUUGUUGCUGCUUCAAUAGUUUGUUGUAGUCAAGCAUAUGCAAUAUAAGUAGUCAAGCCUUUUCAAUUACGAGGCUUAAGCCACAGCCUGAAGUACAAGGUAAUGUAUCACUGUUUAUUUCUUAUUGUUCCCUAUUUAAACUAACAUAUUGAUUAAAUAGGGAAUUGAAAGCCGCACGCAGUUGCAACCUGCAUCAGAUGUUGUUAUCAUUGAAGCAAGGGGAUUGCAUUUUCGUAUGAACGGCUAAUGGGGCGAUGAACGACGAACUGUGUACACCUUUCUGAUGAAUCAUUUUGGAGUAAUGGGGAAAGCAAAAUUUUGUUUUAUAGGGAAUAUUAAGGAACACAGGUCAGUGAUAUGCUUUCAAAUUAUGAUUAGAGAAUUAGCUUACCUCAUGGGUGGAGUUACUUAUGUUUAUCAGAAUUAUAUGAAUGUAACACUAAAUAACUUUUUCGGUCAAAAAAACGGCAUAAAAGGGAAAAAACAGAUCCGGGAACAAAAGAAGAAAAACAUAAAAUUUCAUUAUGAAUAAUUAGAAGAAGAAAAAAACAGUUAAACCUAAACCUAUACCAUAACCCUAACUUUCAUCUUCUCUUCCACUUUCUUCUCUACGAAUGUCCUUUAGGUUUUUUUUUUUUUUUUGUUCUUUCGCUGAUCGACCAUUGGUCAUUAUUCGUUUUUAACGAUCUAAAGUAUUUAAAGAGAAAAGAAGCCUCUUAAUCGAUGGAAAGUACGAUCCAAAUUCCUUUUUGUCUCUUCGCUAACUUUGAUUUGUGGUACCUUUUUGUUUUCACUAAUCUGCAGGAGUAUGAUACCAGCGGGAUAACUAAGAUGUACAUACAUAUUAGUGAUUAUUUUGACCACUUUCUCCAUAAACCCUAAAACUUCUAGCUUUGUGAUUAUGCUGGGAGGUAAUCAAUACAAUAGUUACGUUUCGUCUACUUUGACUAAUACUGUAUUUUAUCUUAUUUAUUUGCUUUACAGGAUAGGACAUUACUCUGGAUGAAAAUCUUGAACUCGAUGUGCCUCUUCAUAGGGAAAGGUAAAUGUUUCGAGGAUUUUAUUUGAGUUUCUAUUAGUAGAUAAGUAUAGCCAACAGAAAGAAUGAGUUUGCUUUGAGUUUGUAUUGAUAUGCCGGUUUUGCACCAUUAUUUAUAUGCCGAUUUUGCACCAUUAUUAAUGAAAUCCGUAGGACACCUCCUAAUCUUCAAGAUGAUUUGAUGGCAGGAACAAUUGUUAUCUCCCUAACACGUCUUGAUUUGAAUUGAAAUGUCGUAUAGACAUUGUGUUUUCUAAUUAUAUGAUUAUUUUUUAAAUUUUGUCCAUGAUCAUUCAAAUUCUUAGCAAUAUUUACAUAUUUUAUUAGUUUAGAUAUAUAAGAAUGGAAGAUAUUCAUAUUAAACGGGAUGAUACAAACUGAGUUAUAUGGUUGCUGCUGCUGCUUCAAUAGUUUGUUGUAGUCAAGCAUCUGCAAUAUAAAUCGUCAAGCCUUUUCAAUUACGAGGCUUAAGUCACAGCCUGAAGUACAAGAGACUACAAAGAGUCGGAGUUUGAGAUUGGGUUGUGGUAGAUUCGACUAUGAUAAGGGAAUCGAAAGCCGCACGCAGUUGCAACCUGCAUCAGAUGUUGUUAUUAUUGAAGCAAGGGGAUUGCAUUUUCGUAUGAACGGCUAAUGGGGCGAUGAACAGCGAACUAUGUACACCUUUCUGAUGAAUCAUUUUGGAGUAAUGGGGAAAGCAUAAUUUUGUUUUAUAGGGAAUAUUAAGGAACACAGGUCAAUGAUAUGCUUUCAAAUUAUGAUUAGAGAAUUAGCUUACCUCAUGGGUGGAGUUAGUUAUGUUUAUCAGAAUUGUUGUCACUGUGAUAGAUAUACUUAAGGAUUGGCAAGUUUGCUAAUUGAGAUACCAACACUAUCUCUGUAGAUCUAUGGAGAAAUCGUUCAAACCCUAGUUAAUCAUCAUCUGUAUUUCCAUUAACUUUUUUUGGUUUGAUACAGUUGUUGUAAAUCAGGAUAAAAUAGGGAUAUUUUAUCAUAACUCUUAAACUAAUUCAGGGUUUGCGGUGCGGAGAAAAUUAAGUUUUCCAGUUCUCUCUUAUUCUCUUUCCACAUUCAGGAAAAAUCUGAUUUCUUUCUCUCUUCAAGAGAGCACAUGAAAUCACAGAUCUGCAGAUAGGAAAAGACGGGAGCUUUUAUUUGUAUUUGCUUCCCUUUCUUUUUUCUGGUGUGAUUGACACUUUUAUGUUAGAUGGUCGGAUUUCCUUUGAAGAUUGGACCGAGAAACUGAUCCCAAUGUUUAAUUCUGGCACUAUUUUUUGUUUAUGAAAUUGAUGCAUCUUAGUAACUUCCUAUGUUAUCUCCAUCUAAGGUUUUUUAACUUUUCAAUGCCUAGCCUCAUUCCUGUGGUGGUAAAAGCAUUCGAAAUGGCAGGAAUCUACUGACAAUGGACAAGCAAUCUUGGUAAACAUGUUGUAUUUGAACGUAUUUUUUGUCACCCACCGUUUAUUGAUUUUGGUACUAGAAACUGCAUCAAGCCACAAUAUAGUUUUGUUUUUCUCCUAACUAUUAUUUUCUUUUCAGCCUUAGAUUGUGUUUGUUUUUCUCUGGAUCAGUUGUGGGGAUCGUUUAAUUUUGAUUUGCGUCCAGAAAGAAUAUGAUAAAUAUACCUAUGAGUCGAUGACUCUAUGGCGGCAGCUUUGGAAGGAAGUUACAGCGCUUGACACGUGGGACAACGAAAAGCACAAUGAGUACAUGCCUUCUAAGCAAGAGCUAACAUGUACUUACCUAUGGCGGCAGCUUUGGAAGGAAGUUUAAUGGGUCAGGGAGUAUUAAUGGCGCAAAAACUUUAAGUAGGGUAGUUAUAAGGUCCAAAGUGGAGUAGAAGAUGCACACAUUUUUCACCGAGUAGAUACUGGCAGUGUGGCACUAACGUCGAACACAAUUGGUACCUAGACUUUUGACACAAUUGCUAACAAAUGAGUAUCAUCAGCUAAGCAACAGACAAUUGAUAGUUGAACAUCUAGGGAUCAGAAUUGGAAACACUCAAUUCAUGGAAACAAGAUGAGAAUAUGAAUACAAACUUUUAUUGCAUAGUUUAUUAAGUUUCUGAAAAUGAAAUCCCAAGGUUUUAAUAGUGUAUUUAUAUCUGUGUUUGUUUCUCUCUAUUUGAGUUACACGGUAUCAAAAGAAACUAAUGAAUUUUCAUGGUUCAUCUCAGGUGAAGAACAUGCACAUAUUAAGCAAGAUGGUGUAGAAAUGGAGGCAACCAUUUUUACAAGAAGGAUGCACCAUUGAAAAAAAGAAUAAGUGUGUAAAGCAGAGUUGCGUCCACCUUGAACGCAUCUGAAGCAGCGAAUCCGGGAUAUUUCCUUUUAUAUGAACUCGUAAAGCUUUAUUUGUCAGUGGACGAGGAGGAAAAGACACCAAGGAAGACAUACCCAUACACUUCUACUUUAUUUAUGGUAAAGUCUUAUUUGAGUAGGUCUUUAUGUACCUGUAUUGUUGCUUACUGUACAUGUGAAAGAAUGUUAAAAUGUUUUGAUAUUUUAACCAUUUGUCUACAUAAUCCUGAAGCAAUCUAUUUGAAAUGCCGUGGAA